GAGAGGUGCCGGAGUGAACGAACGGGGCGGUCUCGAAAACCGCUGCAGCCUUUAUUGGUUGCCAAGGGUUCGAAUCCCUCCCUCUCCA
rnacentral:tRNA from 1 species